AACUUUUUAAUCUACAGGCAAUAACAAUAAUUAUUUCUUUCUUCCCACUAAGAACCACAAAGUGCCUUAGCAGUGGAUUUCUAUAUUAGUAAAAACUAGUAUAGUUAUGAUACCAAAACCAAAGUGACAAAAUCAAAGUAGAUGCUUUAGAUUUCAUUUAAGUAAAAAAAAAUAUUUUGUGCUGCAAAUGAUACCAUUCAAAAAGUGAAAAGACAACCCAUAUAAUGGGAGAAAAUAUUUGCAAAUAUUUGCAUAUAACCGAUAGGGAUUUGUAUCCACAAUAUGUAAAGAACUCUUAUAACUCAAUAGUUGAAAAGCAAUAUAAAUGGGCAAAGAAUUUAAUAGAGAAUUCUCCAAAUAAGAUAUGCAAGUGGCCAAAAAGCACAUGAAAAUAUGGCCAAGUUGCCCUGGCUGGUGUAGC